ACUUACGAUUAUUUCACUAGACCGUGUGCGAGUGGUUUCGAAGAUCUACCUGCAGUAUACAUAUGUACAUUACUACGCUAAACCAGGCUCAAGAGUUGCAUAAUUGUCAUUUUAAAUGAAACUAUGCUAUAUAACUGGUCGUCGAGGGACAACCGUCAAUCACGAAGUGUCAAAUUUUAACAGCUGCAACUUAUAAGAAGAGGUUAUGAGUCAAAACGCGUAAUGACGUUGGGGAUGUAAUAUUUAACUGUUAAAAGCAACCGACGCGUAGAAAACAUAAGUGAAAAACACGAGGUCGAAACGAUUUAUAAGAGCGCAAUUCUGUUGAAACUGUUCGGCCGACUGACAUGUUCUACGAGGAAACCUGUUACGAACGUACGUACAUACAAAUAUAUGUCUUUCCGUGGUACUUACCUUUUCCUUUGCUCUGCCUGCGUGUUUUUGCACUGUCUUCGCGAUCAACGCACCCUUACUUUCAGCCAUUUUUUCACGGUAUUCGAAAAGCGGUGACUUUCAAUCCUCUCUAAAACACUAAAUUCAAUUUUGAAGUCUAGCCGACGUUACUUUCUUCCACACUGAACUACAACCAAAACGCACGAACGGAAGCGCGGAGAAACACUGAAGAGUCGACACGAAACUGCGCGCCGAGGUACGGUCCGCACGCUUUCACGAGCCUUCGCGUAUUGGCAGCACUAUCCACGCUCCAUUGAACGUUUUACCUGUUGGUACAGCAGUAUACAAAUGGCAUUCAAGAUUCAAAAUUAAUUCGAUACUUUUUCUUUAAUUGAAAAUUUGUUUAUAAAAAGUGAUGAUAACUUCAAUUAUUUAAAACACUCAUUGUUAUUGUUGAUAGUCUGGCUUCAUUCCAGAUUCAUGAAAACGCGGGAAAAUAUUAAUUUUAAAGGAACUAAAUUAAUUUGUAUAUACAUCUGAUAAAUAAGAUUUAUUCUCAAUACAGUGUAACUAUGUUUGAUUUAAAUUCAAAAAUCAAUAUUUUACAUAAUUCAUUAGUACAUAUAUUGAAUUAUUGUACGAGCAAUAACUUAGGUAUUAAAGACAGCUUAACAAAAUGAUGAAUAAACUGAAAAAAUAUAAUUAAAGCGAUAGACUAUUAUAGUUAUUGUUUAAUAAGAUUGUGUUGAUAUUAAGUAACAUGAAUGUUACAAAGUUACCCUGAUUACAUCGUAAGAAUUCCUUUCGCAUUUAUAAUAGACCAUGCAAGUGGCUCCAUCUCGCCUAACAAAAACAGUGCAGUAAAUACCGACCAGCCCAGUCACGUGACUACUCUACCCUCUCAAAGAACUAAAAACGUAAUACCUCGCUACGUGCGUAACUUCCGUCCCAUUUACUGUUUUAAAUCAAAAAGAAAAGAAUACAAGUCACUGCAAAAUUGAAACAAUGAAAAAUAUUGUUUUAAAUAAUAAAAUUCAUGCUACAAAUCGUGUUUAAUAAUAAAAACGGAUCAAUGAUAUUGAGUAUAUAAUUGUUGAUUUGUAAAUGAUUUUAUUAAUAAAUUAUUUUUUCUUAUUUUGUGAUGAGGAUUGCUCGAAAUAAACAAACGUUAUGAUAAAAAUUCACUUUAACAACGGAACAGACAGACAAUACAGAGAUGUAAUAUAUCUGAUAGGUGAUAGAUUUUUUUUUUUUUCUUACGUAAAUGGUCUAUCCAAAAUUGCAAUUGACAAAAGUGUAUGUGUCGCGGGGCGCGCGGAAUGUUUUAAUUAUUUAUAAUUCAAUUUCUUAAUUAUUUAUAAUUUAACUUUUAAUAAGACAUCCGCGCGUGCCGCAAUUACAAAUUGCAGAUUGGAAAUUUACAGAUUUGGACCUGUACAUGUAAUAUACUCAUUGUACCUAAUAUAAAUUUGCUUUAGUCUUGGAAAAAUUGGAUAAGGCCAUAACCAAACUGGCGACAAGGAGGCGCCAGAUCCUCGACUCUACCAUAAUUUCUUGUUUUCUUUCUUUUUUUUUUCUUAUAAAACCGAUUCUCUCUUGCACUCUCACUCGCUGUUUCACUCCCAUCCAUUCUCACGAUCACGUAGCUAAUCGGUAGUCCGUCCAGUAAUCCACGUACCACAGUCUUACCAUUAACUACAUCGUCUGAUCCAUCUUCAUUUUUUGUUACUUAUUUUUGCGCCUAUUUCUCCAGAUUUUGUCUUUUCGCUCUAUUCUAAAUUUUGCAUUUCUGGGUUUUCCUCUUCUUUUUUUCCAUUUUUUUUUCUUUUUUUUUAAAUACAAUU